rnacentral:rRNA from 1 species
AGUGGGGAAUAUUGCGCAAUGGGGGAAACCCUGACGCAGCAACGCCGCGUGAAUGAUGAAGGUCUUCGGAUCGUAAAGUUCUGUCGAAGGGGAAGAAAAAAAUGACGGUACCCUUAGAGGAAGCCCCGGCUAACUACGUGCCAGCAGCCGCGGUAAUACGUAGGGGGCAAGCGUUGUCCGGAAUUACUGGGCGUAAAGGGCGUGUAGGCGGUUUUUUAAGUCAGAUGUGAAAGUUCGGGGCUUAACCCCGGAAUUGCAUUUGAAACUGGAGAACUUGAGUACUGGAGAGGUAAGUGGAAUUCCUAGUGUAGCGGUGAAAUGCGUAGAUAUUAGGAGGAACACCAGUGGCGAAGGCGACUUACUGGACUGUAACUGACGCUGUGUCACGAAAGCGUGGGUAGCAAACAGGAUUAGAUACCCUGGUAGUCCACGCUGUAAACGAUGAGUGCUAGGUGUUGGCCAGCGAUGGUCAGUGCCGAAGUUAACACAAUAAGCACUCCGCCUGGGGAGUACGGUCGCAAGACUGAAACUCAAAGGAAUUGACGGGGACCCGCACAAGCAGCGGAGCAUGUGGUUUAAUUCGAAGCAACGCGAAGAACCUUACCAAGGUUUGACAUCCCCUUGACAGAUGCAGAGAUGUGUCCUCCCCUUCGGGGGCAAGGGAGACAGGUGGUGCAUGGUUGUCGUCAGCUCGUGUCGUGAGAUGUUGGGUUAAGUCCCGCAACGAGCGCAACCCUUAUCCUUAGUUGCCAGCAAGUUAAGUUGGGCACUCUAAGGAGACUGCCGGUGAUAAACCGGAGGAAGGUGGGGAUGACGUCAAAUCAUCAUGCCCCUUAUAUCUUGGGCUACACACGUGCUACAAUGGUCGGUACAAAGGGAAGCGAAAGAGUGAUCUGGAGCAAAUCCUUAUAAACCGAUCCCAGUUCGGAUUGUAGGCUGCAACUCGCCUACAUGAAGUUGGAGUUGCUAGUAAUCGCGAAUCAGAACGUCGCGGUGAAUGCGUUCCCGGGUCUUGUACACACCGCCCGUCGCACCAUGGAAGUUGGUAAUACCCAAAGUCGCUGAGCUAACCGUAAGGGGGCAGGCGCCUAAGGUAGGAUCAAUGACUGGGGUG